rnacentral:lncRNA from 1 species
AUAAUCACUCCAGAAAGUUGAAGACACAAAAGUGAUGCAUGCACACACAAGCACACACAUAUAUUAACCAUCAUCAUUUUACAUGACAACAACCAGGAGCUUACAAAAGUACCCUACACUUCACAAAGUGUCAUCUGACUAGGAUUGUCACACACCUAUGAAUCAUGUAAGUCACUGAUCCAAGAGAUCACAACCAUCAGCAUGUGCAUGGCCAAAAAGAGAAGUGUCAUGUUGCACUUAAUUAAGUAUGCAUAUCCUAGUAACAAGCAUUGGCUUCCAAUUAAUCGACGCAAAAAUUUUAUGCCACUUCCUUCACCACCGCAAGAGACAUCUCAAAAAGGAGGUAGUUCGUCACCAGGCGGAGAGAAAUUUCCAGUUUGCGUCAAACAAGCCAGCAAACAUUCCAUCUUCUGCUGCACGCAAUGUAUUAUUCAUAUUUUCAGCACCAUUAGUUGAUUCACCUGUGGAGGGCUGCAGAAAUGUCUUUUUUAGAAUCUCGAAAUAUCAAAUUAUAAAUAAUGACUACAAAAAUCCUUAGUUGAUUCAACAACAAGAUAGAUGUUAAACCCUAUAGUGCAACCUAUUCCUUUUCUUUUCUUAUUUGGCCGAUCUGGUGUUAUUGCCUUCGAAAGAAAUAUGUACCUACCAUUUCUGGAGAAAAGAUCGGAGACGAAGUGGUUAAUGUUGAAAAAGAUGGAGGUGGAGGUAUAACAAUGCAUGGAAUCUCAGGCCCUUGAACUCCUUGAAGGGAUGCGAUGGUCUGAAAUUUUUGAUACAAAAUAGAAAACUAUAUCAAAUGGCUUUACACACCAUAAGAAACUUAUGCAGACCACCAAGGCUACUAUCCACUGUAGUCUGGACAGAAUUGUUAGCACACCAUUUGGCUUUCUCACAUUUUUUUCUAAAUGUAUGUAAUUCUAACCAGUGCCUAGCACAAGAAAAUAGAUAUAAGUUAAACACACCCCAAGGUAUGUCAUAGUGUAAUAUGUCAAACACCCAAGGUGUGCCAAACAGUAAUGCGUGGAUUAAAUGAUAACUCACGUCUCCCCGUCAGGUCUAAUCAGUGGACGUUCAGACUCAUUUGCAAUAGGCGGUGG